UACGUAGGGGGCAAGCGUUGUCCGGAUUUAUUGGGCGUAAAGAGCGUGUAGGCGGCUAGGUAGGUCCGUUGUGAAAACUCGAGGCUCAACCUCGAGACGUCGAUGGAAACCAUCUAGCUAGAGUCCGGAAGAGGAGAGUGGAAUUCCUGGUGUAGCGGUGAAAUGCGCAGAUAUCAGGAGGAACACCAAUGGCGAAGGCAGCUCACUGGGACGGUAUUGACGCUGAGACGCGAAAGCGUGGGGAGCAAACAGG
rnacentral:rRNA from 1 species